rnacentral:misc_RNA from 1 species
GAUGAAGAACGUAGCGAAAUGCGAUAAGUAAUGUGAAUUUCAGAAUUCAGUGAAUCAUCGAAUCUUUGAACGCACAUUGCGCCCCCUGGUAUUCCGGGGGGCAUGCCUGUUCGAGCGUCAUUUCAACCCUCAAGCUCUGCUUGGUAUUGAGUCCAUGUCAGCAAUGGCAGGCUCCAAAAUCAGUGGCGGCGCCGCUGGGUCCUGAACGUAGUAAUAUCUCUCGUUACAGGUGCUCGGCGUGCUUCUGCCAAAACCCCAAUUUUUCUAUGGUUGACCUCGGAUCAGGUAGGGAUACCCGCUGAACUUAAGCAUAUCAAUAAGCGGAGGA